GUUUAACGUUCGUAGUGUAGUGGAGUAACGGAAUGGAGCGCGAAACCGUCUCAGGACGAAAAAGAAGAAUGGAUGGCCCAGCACCAAAUACUAAAAAGGAGCUGCCCAAAAGAGCAAGAAAACCCAACGAAGAAGAUACGUUUUUAUGAACCAGCCCCUGACUCACCUAGAGAUGACCAAGAUGAGGAGUGCCAAAUGCUGUAGUAUUUGGGAAACACGGAAAGGUGCCAGAUGGAAAGACAGUCCUGGAUCAGUCCAAAGUCAAUGGAAUUCUAAGUAAGUACACUGAUCAUUUAGUAGUUAAAAAAAGAAAUGUUAUGGAAAAUUGUUGGAAAUUAAUUGGUAAA